rnacentral:lncRNA from 1 species
GGUGUGCUCCGCAGUGCCCCAGAUAUGCCCAGGUGUGCUCAGGAGUGCCCAGGAUGUGCCCAGGUGUGCCCAGCAGUGCUCAGGUGUGCCCAGGUGUGCUCAGAUGUGCCCAGCAGUGGUCAGGUGUGCCACGGUGUGCUCAGGCGUGCCCAGGUGUGCUCUGGUGUGCCCAGGUGUGCCAUGGUGUGCCCAGGUGUGCCAUGGUGUGCCCAGGUGUGCCCCAGGUGUGCCCAGGUAACAGCGGUGCCAUCGGUGCUCUGGUGCAGCCCCGCCCACUGCCUCCAGAUUGGCUGCUGGCUCGCUGGCCCCGCCCCCGCCAGGGUUCUCCCAGCAAUGGCAAUGCUUCCUCAUUAGCAUAAACCGUCUUCCUCAUUAGCAUAAACCCUGCUUCCUCAUUAGCAUAAACCCGGCUUCCUCAUUAGCAUAAACCCCACCCAUGCACCUUGAUCCCGCCCCCUUUGGGAUCCAGGGGCUCCCCUCCCCCAUGGGCCUUGUGCCCCAAAAAUGUCGGGGUCCCACCCCACAAAUUUUGGGGUCCUGACCCCACAAGUGUUGGGGUCCUGCCCCACAAAUUUUGGGGUC